AAUUUUCCGCAAUGGGCGAAAGCCUGACGGAGCAAUACCCGCGUGAGGGAGGAAGGCUCUUGGGUCGUAAACCUCAUUCUCAAGGAAGAAGAAAGUGACGGUACUUGAGGAAUAAGCAUCGGCUAACUCCGUGCCAGCAGCAACGGUAAUACGGAGGAUGCAAGCGUUAUCCGGAAUGAUUGGGCGUAAACCUCUGCAGGUGGAAACUGAAAGUCUGCUGUUAAAGAGUUUGGCUUAACCAAAUAAAAGCGGUGGAAACUAAAGAACUAGAGUGCGGUAGGGGCAAAAGGAAUUCCUGGUGUAGCGGGGAAAUGCGUAGAUAACAGGAAGAACACCGGUGGCGAAAGCGUUUUGCUAGACCGUAACUGACACUGAGGGACGAAAGCUACCGGAGCGAAUGGGAUUAGAUACCCCAGUAGUCCUACCCGUAAACGAUGGAUACUAGGCGUGGCUUGUAUCGACCCGAGCCGUGCCGGAGCUAACGCGUUUAGUAUCCCGCCUGGGGAGUACGCACGCAAGUGUGAAACUCAAAGGAAUUGACGGGGGCCCGGACAAGCGGUGGAGUAUGUGGUUUAAUUCGAUGCAACGGGAAGAACCUUACCAAGACUUGACAUCCUGCGAAUCCUGGUGAAAGCUGGGAGUGCCAAUAGGGAGCGCAGAGACAGGUGGUGCAUGGCUGUCCGUCAGCUCGUGUCGUGAGAUGUUGGGUUAAGUCCCGCAACGAGCGCAACCCUCGUUUUAACUUGCCAGCAUUAAGUUGGGCACUCUAGAGAGACUGCCGGUGACAAACCGGAGGAACCGUGAGGAUGACGUCAAGUCAGCAUGCCCCUUACGUCUUGGGCUACACACGUACUACAAUGCUACGGACAGAGGGCAGCAAAGCCAGGGAUGGCAAGCGAAUCCAGUAACCGUAGCUCAGUUCAGAUCGAAGGCUGCAACUCGCCAUCGUGAAGGAGGAAUCGCUAGUAAUUGCAGGUCAGCAUACUGCAGUGAAUUCCUUCCCGGGCCUUGUACACACCGCCCGUCACACCAUGGAAGUUGGUCACGCCCGAAGUCAUUACCCCAACCGAAAGGAGGGGGAUGCCUAA
rnacentral:rRNA from 1 species